rnacentral:lncRNA from 1 species
CGCUUGGCUAUGAUUUGUAUAACAAAACACUAUAUCAUUAUUUGAAGUUAGAUUUUUUUGCUAGUUUGUAAGUGAAAUAUUUACCUCUUGAUAUGUAGGGUAGACCUGGCAUUGAUGGGAAGAGAGGUCUGGCUGGAAAAGAUGGAGAGCAAGGACAAAGAGGAGAUGAUGGCAAAAAGGGUGAUACAGGUGAAACUGGAACUGAUGGUAAAAAAGGGGAAUUGGGUGCUCCGGGCCUGCCUGGUACCCAUGUUCUGGUUACUCAACAGGAGGGUGCCACCCUUGAAGAGAUGCGACAGGCAUUCCCUUUGCCAAUGGGACCUCCUGGGGCUAAAGGUCCACCAGGGAUGAAGGGUGACGCUGGUCUUCCAGGGGAAGCAGCUGACAUGAAGAACAUUGAAGUCAUGUUUGAAGACUAUGGCAUAAGGCUGCCCUUGCUGAAGGCACUGAUUGACAGGCUGCUGCAGGACGGCAUGGUGGAGCUUCUGCAGGACCUAACCACCUCUAGGAGAGUCAAUGAGAAGGAGAAACACGGCUCCAACAUUAUCACUGACUACACAAGAACUGUAAAGUAUGAGAUCUCCAAGGAGCCUCUGACAGAGAUGGACACCAUAGAGGAGGCAGUUGACUCUGACUUAGACAGACAGCUACCAGAACCUAACUCUGAUGCUUUGGAUGAAACGGCGGAGGCCCCCACAUUCUGGAGCCUCACCACUCUUAAUGGUCUUAAAGGGGUCCAAGACGUGGGGAGGAUAGAGAGCACCUCUAAGGGGACAGAGGGGACACUGACAGUGGACGAGGAGUUCAGUGAAGCUCCCUCGCCCAAGUUGACUUUAUCAAACUCAACAUUUAACAACACUACGUCUGAAGAGAGGGUCUCUGAGGUACCAGGGGCAAUAGUAGAAACUGUUCUCCUCAGUGGGGAAGACUCCUUGAAGAAAAAGAAGAGUCGAGAACGGAAGGGCAAGGGACAGAAAGGACGACAUAAGAGGCAAAGAGAACGCCUGAUGAGUACGGAGGAGGAGGAGGAGGAAUUAUACGAUGGGGAAGAGUACAGUUAUGAAUAUGAGGAUUCCACAGAUGAUCCCUUACUGUCAAUGGAAAAGCAAGGGGAGUUUGAAAUCACAACAGAAAGCACACUACAUGGAAUGAGCAAAGAGAGUGGCCUGACAACUUUAGGUCCAUAUCCAUCCCAGUCACCGGGUGACAGUGAAAAGAAGGGGGAAUUCAUCACACCUAUCCUUCCCAGCACAACAGAAGAAACAGAGAAGGACCUUUCCUAAAUCCACAAAGAUUGAGACUGUAGAUUUGUAAGCACGGAGUGUUUGUAUAAACUGUGAAGUGAAGUGUAUCGCUGGUGAGGAGCAGUCUACCCUUAACCUGACCAGCAUAACAUGAGGAGGGACUUCGCUUCGUCGCGCAAUGAUGAUGUCAUUUGUCCAAUGUCACUCGUCCAAUGCCACUUCUAUGACCAGAAUCGUUUCUUAUACUUAGUCCAAGUACCUAAAAGAUGAACAAUACAUAGGUAAAGCUAAGUUAAAUCAAGACAGUGUAUUAUAUAACGAUUAUUCGACUAAUAAAUUCUUCCAUCAGAUGUCAGUGUUAUUUUAGCGUUGACUUUGCAUAAACUAAUUUAUUUAUUAAAGAAGUUCAAAAUGUUACAUUGGACCUAAGCUAUAGUAUAGCUUCUCUCUGUUGCUUCAGUAUUCCAACACUUUUUACCUCCUCGUAAUUUGUUCAACCAUAUUCUAAUGUUUUCAGUGUAUCGCUGCUUAUCAAUUCCUCAACCAAACGUUAUUUAUUGAAAACAUGGAAAUAGAUUGUAUUUUGUUCCUUUUCUGUAUUAGUUACUACUUUUUCCAAUGAAAUGUGUUUCCAUCAUAUUUUUCAG